rnacentral:rRNA from 1 species
UUCCUACGGGCGGCAGCAGUGGGGAAUAUUGGGCAAUGGGCGAAAGCCUGACCCAGCGACGCCGCGUGGGGGAUGAAGGUCUUCGGAUUGUAAACCCCUGUCGGGAGGGACGAACGUGUCACGGCAAACAGUCGUGACGCUUGACGGUACCUCCAAAGGAAGCCCCGGCUAACUCCGUGCCAGCAGCCGCGGUAAUACGGAGGGGGCAAGCGUUAUUCGGAAUUACUGGGCGUAAAGCGCGCGCAGGUGGCUUGGUAAGUGGCAGGUGAAAUCCCUUGGCUCAACCGAGGAACUGCCUGCCAAACUGCUGAGCUUGAGGCUGGGAGGGGAGAGCGGAAUUCCUGGUGUAGCGGUGAAAUGCGUAGAUACCAGGAGGAACACCGGUGGCGAAGGCGGCUCUCUGGACCAGAUCUGACACUCAUGCGCGAAAGCGUGGGGAGCAAACAGGAUUAGAUACCCCAGUAGUCCA